rnacentral:rRNA from 1 species
AGGAGGCAGCAGUGGGGAAUCUUGCACAAUGGGCGAAAGCCUGAUGCAGCGACGCCGCGUGGGGGAUGAAGCAUUUCGGUGUGUAAACCCCUUUCGAUCCGGACGAAUGCCUCGCAAGAGGAGUGACGGUACGGAUAUAAGAAGCCCCGGCUAACUACGUGCCAGCAGCCGCGGUAAGACGUAGGGGGCCAGCGUUGUUCGGAAUUACUGGGUGUAAAGGGUUCGUAGGCGGUGUGGCAAGUUGGGAGUGAAAUCUCUGGGCUUAACCCAGAGACUGCUUCCAAAACUGCUGUGCUUGAGUGUGAGAGAGGCGCGUGGAAUUGCAGGUGUAGCGGUGAAAUGCGUAGAUAUCUGCAGGAACACCCGUGGCGAAAGCGGCGCGCUGGAUCACUACUGACGCUGAGGAACGAAAGCUAGGGGAGCAAACAGGAUUAGAUACCCCGGU